UACAACAACUGACGCAUGGUUCCUUACA
rnacentral:sRNA from 1 species